rnacentral:rRNA from 1 species
GACCUGGUGGUAAUAGCGAAGGUGUCCCACCCGAUCCCAUUCCGAACUCGGACGUUAAACCCUUUUGCGCCCAUGGUACUUUGUCUUAAGGCACGGGAGAGUAGGUCGCUGCCAGGUCU